rnacentral:rRNA from 1 species
CAAUAGCGUAUAUUAAAGUUGUUGCAGUUAAAAAGCUCGUAGUUGGAUUUGUGGCGUACGGUGUGUUCCGGGCACUUGUUGUCUGAGUAACCUGCUGUUGCCAUCCUUGGGUGGAACCUGUGUGGCAUUAGGUUGUCGUGCAGGGGAUGCCCAUCAUUUACUGUGAAAAAAUUAGAGUGUUCAAAGCAGGCUUAUGCCGUUGAAUAUAUUAGCAUGGAAUAAUGAGAUAGGACUUUUUUGCUAUUUUGUUGGUUUGCGCAAAGAGGUAAUGAUUAAUAGGGACAGUUGGGGGUAUUCGUAUUCCAUUGUCAGAGGUGAAAUUCUUGGAUUUUUGGAAGACGAACUACUGCGAAAGCAUUUACCAAGGAUGUUUUCAUUAAC